UUAAAGGCUUCUUAAAACAUGUGUGAAUAUGUGUAUAUUAUACAAAGAGUCUUAUAUUGUCUGCUCUGACAAAAAUAAAGUAUUUUUUUAGGUUUAGGGGAAUUGACUGCGUGUGUCUUAUAAAUACAACUUGAUAAUACGUUUGUUUUGUAAAGAGACUUCUUUAAAGUCACGCAAGAAUAAAAUAUUUUAGUUGUAACUGGUUAAACUUAAAGCCGAUAUUUUCUAUCGAACUAGUCUAUUUUCUGUUCAGACACAAAGUUUUCUGAUGCUGAUAUUAUGUCAGUGUGUGUUUGUGUGGGGGUCGUGUGAUGUAAUCUUUGAAAGUUUAUGACCGAACCUUUAUUGGGGAGCGACAAGAGAUCUCCCGGAAUCAGUUUGGAUGGAGCAGAGCUGUUAUACUCAAGUCUAUUGGUAUGUAUGUGUUUCGCUGUGUUCGUUCCAGUAUUUUGUAUGAUUUAUUUAAAAACUAAAAAUUCGAUCUCUGGUAUUGCAGCGAAAUUGUCUAAACUGGUAUUAACUAUUCCUGGUAAAUCGCGGAGAAGAGUGGCCUGAACAAAAAAGUCAGACCGAGACUAGAACCUCCCGCAGCGUAACACGGAAAUCUUGGAACAAAAGAGACGCCGACUGGCUCGUGUUGUCCGGUUUGGAUAUCAGAGGCAAAGCGAACGUUGUGUGUACUAUUGCAAAAUAUAUAGCGGAUCUCCACGGUUAGGAUACAGACCACAACGCUUUGGACGUAUCUUUAAAAAAGAUUAAAAUCAGAGACUUUUUGGAUUUGUCUGGGGACAUUUUAAACAUUUUGUGGCAAAUUGGAUUUAAAACAUUUCGGAUACUGGAUACCUAGUUUGAUUUGUCCACAGAGCUUGUUUAAGACGUUUUCACCGCAUUUUAGGGUUUAUUUUUAAUUAAAGGCUUCUUAAAACAUGUGUGAAAAUGUGUAUAUUAUACAAUGAGUCUUAUAUUGUCUGCUCUGACAUAAAUAAAUUUUUAUUUUAGAUUUUA